rnacentral:rRNA from 1 species
UACGGGGGGUGCGAGCGUUGUCCGGAAUCACUGGGCGUAAAGGGCUCGUAGGCGGUUUGUCACGUCGGGAGUGAAAACUCGGGGCUCAACCCCGAGCCUGCUUCCGAUACGGGCAGACUAGAGGUAUGCAGGGGAGAAUGGAAUUCCUGGUGUAGCGGUGAAAUGCGCAGAUAUCAGGAGGAACACCGGUGGCGAAGGCGGUUCUCUGGGCAUUACCUGACGCUGAGGAGCGAAAGUGUGGGGAGCGAACAGG